GCUGGGCGUGGUGGCACACACCUGUAAUCCCAGCAGCUUGGGAGGCUGAGGCAGAAGGAUCACGAUUUCAAAGCAACUCAGUGAGACCCUGUCUCUA
rnacentral:sRNA from 1 species